ACGAAAAGGUGGAGGAAGGUUGAAUUGUCUCUGGCUGACUGCUGAGCUGGGACAUCCACCUUCUCCUGCCCUUCAUGUCCUUGUUCUCAGCCUGGAGUCUCUACCAUGGGCUCCCUGGCUCUCAGGCCUUCAAACUAUACCACCGGCUUUCCUUCCUGGGUCUCCAGCUCGCAGACGGCAGAUCGUGGGACUUCUGUAAUCAUUUUUUUCAAUCUAGGUUUUCAAUCCUUUGUGACACAGAAUCAAGGUACUUGGAAGAGAGUGUUGGAACCAGAGGCGAAGCUGAGUUACAUUCAGAAGAGGGAGGACUAAUGCUUACCUUACAGUCCCCCAUGAGCCACAUUUACCAGUAUUCAUGUCCCUCCCCCAGUGACUGACUUCAACUAGCAAGACAUUAGCAAGGGUGAUGCAAGGGGAGGCUUGCUAAGCUCUUGCACAAUGGGGCCUGUCCUCCUGGAAUUUUGCUCUUGUGAUGUACUCCCUUGGAACCCAGAAAUCAUACUGUGGCUGCCCAAAUUAGCAGUACGGAGAGGCCACUGGUUGGAGCACUGAGGCCCUAGCUGACACCCAAUCUGAGCUCCCAGCCAAUAGCCAGCCUCAGCUUGCCAACAAUGUAAAUGACGCAUCUUGAAAGUGGGUCCUCCAGCCUCAGUUGAGCCACAACAACUGGUGCCCAUGGAGCAGAGAAGAGCUGUCUUCACUGAGCCCUGCCUAAAUUCCAGAAUUAUGAACAAAUAAAUGUUGCUUCAAGCCCGCCAAGUUUUGGGUUAGGUUUG